CGGGAGCGGUGGGGCAAGAGGCACCCCCUGAGGCGAGUGGAGACGCUGGGUGCCAAGUGGCCGGCGCUACGGAUCUAGCGGUCACAGCCCUGGGGCUGGUACAGUAGUAACUGGCGCUGGGCAGCUGGCUUCCCAGGAGGGCACUGCCCCAAGCACAACUGCACAACUGCCCCAGAACCAACUCUACCACUCCCUUACUGAAUGAUGCUUGGAGGCUUUCUGAACUUCAAUGAGCUGGUUCCAUUUCAUCACCUGCAAAGAGGGAGCACUGACACCUGCCAAAAGUACCCAGGAGACACUGGGAUGGAGGUGGGCUAGCACAGUUUCUAUUUUCUGUUACAUUAUUUUCUUUUCCUAUUUUCCUAUUUUGUUAUUUAUACACUACAUGCACACUUUUCCAAAUUCAAAAGAUAUUGGAGGUUUACAAUGAAAAAUGAAGUCAGUCUCUUUCGCAACCACACAAAUUCUCUCCCCUGAGGCGUCCACUAUUCCUGGUUCUUGUGCCUCCUGGAGACAGACUGUCUACAAUGCAUAAGUAGACAUAAUUUUUUUUUCUUUUAUAUACAAAUAGUAGCUUACUGGUUACAUUUACAAUUUCACUUAUUUCAGCUUGUAGAAUUGUACAUGUCUAUCUGUAUAAAGUACCUUCAUGCUCUUUG